rnacentral:rRNA from 1 species
CCUACGGGUGGCAGCAGUGGGGAAUCUUCCGCAAUGGGCGAAAGCCUGACGGAGCAACGCCGCGUGAUCGAAUGAAGGCCUUCGGGUUGUAAAGAUCUGUUGACAGGGACGAAUAAGCCAUGCGAAUAGUUUGGUGUAUGACGGUACCUGUUUAGAAAGCUCCGGCCAACUACGUGCCAGCAGCCGCGGUAAUACGUAGGGAUCAAGCGUUGUCCGGAAUUACUGGGCGUAAAGGGCGCGUAGGUGGGUGCUUUAGUCAGGUGUGAAAACUCUGGGCUCAACCUGGGGACUGCACUUGAAACUGGGUAUCGUGAGGGAAGGAGAGGAAGGUGGAAUUCCUGGUGUAGCGGUGAAAUGCGUAGAUAUUAGGAGGAACACCAGUGGCGAAGGCGACUUUCUGGACUGUAACUGACGCUGAGGCGCGAAAGCGUGGGUAGCGAACGGGAUUAGAUACCCGAGUAGUC